CCAGUAUAGACAUAACUAAAAAGAUGUGUGUCAUCUGUGGAGAGCAAGAUGACCGUCAAGUUUCAAAACAUGGAGAAAAGGGAUGUCAAGGACUUUCAUUAGCUGCAAAAAACUAUAAAGACCAGAUUAUCGUGUUUGUUCCGGGACAAUAUGUGCAUAUCGACUGUCUUAAGACAUAUUGCCACCCAAACCAAACCAGUAGUAGAGGGAAAUCCACAUCAAACUUAAUGUCAAGUCCCAAAACCAGGCAAUCAACAAAUGGAAAUUCGUUUGACUUUGGAACAAAAUGCUUAUUUUGUGGUUCUGAUGCUAAAUUAAGAAAUGGAAAAAGAGGCAUUGACGUUCAUCCUGUUAUGACUCAAGAAUUUGAGUUGACUAUUAGAGAGUCAUGUAAAUCUAGGUGUGAUGAAUGGGGUGCUACUGUUCUUGGGCGACUUGAGUCCACAAAUGACCUUCCUACUGUAGAAGGUUUACACAAGUAACAAUGUGGUACAUGUUGAAACUCUCUUCCAACUAAGGCGGCAGCAAGGUUUCAUAGCUUUAGAACAUAUUUACAAGUCCAAACCUGGGUCGCUAGUGAACUAAAUCCAUUAGAGUGGGGCUGGAGAAAAGAGAAUGACUUGUUGACACCUGUAAAGUAUAAUAUGUGAGCAGCGCCUGAGCGGUUAUUAAAUGUCAUACGAUGUAACUGUGAAACCGGUUGUGAUACCAAAAGAUGUAGCUGUCGGAAACAUGGUUUAAAAUGCACGGGUUGUUGUGGUGAAUGCAAAGGAACAAGUUGUAGUAACGUACAGUCAAUUAUUGAAGAGCUGGAUAUCUAGAAUUUAAAAAAUCAGAUAUCUUUCAAUGUAAAUGCAAUUGGUAAAGUGUUUAACAUAAACCAUCAAAUGUUUUGUUACUUGACA